AACGAACGCUGGCGGCAUGCCUAACACAUGCAAGUCGAACGAUACCUUCCGGUCUAGUGGCGCCCGGUUGCGAAACGCGUGGGAACCCGUCAUUAGGCUGGGCAUAACUCCCCGAAAGGGGUGCGAAACCCGGACAAUGUCUUGGGACCUACUAUUUAUGGCUUGUGGGUGGGCGAGCGUUGGGGUAGCUUGUUGGUGGGGCAGAGGCCUACCAAGGCGGCGACGGGUAGCCGGACUGAGAGGGUGAUCGGGCACACUGGGACUGAGACACGGCCCAGACGCCUACGGGAGGCAGAAGUGGGGAAUAUUGCAAAAUGGGCGCAAGCCUGAUGCAGCAACGCCGCGUGCGGGAUGACGGCCUUCGGGUUGUAAACCGCUUUCAGCAGGGACGAAGCUUUUUGUGACGGUACCUGCAGAAGAAGCACCGGCUAACUACGUG
rnacentral:rRNA from 1 species